GUGAUUACAGGCUGGAUGGCACGUAGUGAGCCAGGCGAGGUCACCACUCUACAACCCUUGUGACUGUCACCUUUGCACAAGCGGAGUGACUUUUCCCCCAAUCUCGUACCAGUCUGGCAGCAUGUACGAAAAGAACGGUGAGAGAAGCUGUUUUAUGCAUUUCUAAAGGAAGCAGAGAAAGCUGGGACCAAUGAGUGGGAGGUGGAUUUUGGCGGAACACAGGAGGAAUUCUCUUAGUCAGAGCCAUCCAAAAAUGGAAAGACCUGACUCAGAAGACAGCGUGUCCCCUGCCUGCAUAAGAUGAGGAUGUCAAGACUUGGAGUAGGUGACAGUUGGCCUUGGGCUUCGGUGGCCAACCCAUGACUACAAAAGCCCGAGAAGCCAGCAGGUCCCCCAGCUCCUCCACCAAGUGGCCUCUGGGUGAUGGGGAAGCUUGUCCUCUGCUUUGUCACACGCAAAACUCUAAAAGUCAGCAUCCCAACGCAUCGGCCUGGAGAGCCCAUCCAGGUGAGAGACACACACUUGAGGAUGUGUUGGGGCCAGAGGCAGAGCCAGCGAUGUCACUGCCAGGUCCCGUGCAAUACGACAACACAGGACUCCUGGUUCCAAAAGCAGGAGAAAAGCUUUUUCCUUUCCUCCCUUCACCUGUCACAGUGGUUUUUAUUUGUGAUUGAAUGGUGUGCUCCCUGGGACGGGGGUUUCUCAAAGACAUCUCUGGGAGUCUCGCAGACUCAGGUGCCCAGGGGCAGGGUGCUUGAGUCCCAACCCUGAAACCCUAACUGUCCUUGAUCCCCACAGUCCGUGCCCUCCUGCCAGCAGAUCCUUUGUCCCACUGGAUUUCAUUUACAAACCACAAAGUCAGAAAGAAAAGUAUUAAGAAAUCCAAGAGGGGCCGAGCGCGUGGCUCACACCUGUAACUCCAGCACUUUGGGAGGCUGAGGUGGGCGAAUCACCUGAGGUCAGGAGUUCGAGACCAGACUAGCCAACAUGGUGAAAUCCCUUCUCUACUAAAAUACAGAAAUUAGCUGGGCAUGGUGGCACACGCCUGUGAUCCCAGCUAUUCAGGAGGCUGAGGCAGGAGAAUCGCUUGAACCCAGGAGGCGGAGGUUGCAGUGAGCCGAGAUCGAGCCACUGCCCUCCAGCCUGGGUUACAGAGCAACACUCCGUCUCAAAAAAAAGAAGUCCAAGACGGCAAUUGCAGAGAAUUCAACUCCCUGGGCGGGCCCCUCUGAGAGCAAGGGUCUGAGCUUCCACAUUGGCCAUAGGCCGGGGAAGCCUGGCCAGAGGUGAGCAGCCACUUGGAUGUCUGCGAUGGCUCCAGAGGUAACAGAGACUCGAAGACCAGGGAGAAUGCAAGCUUCAGGGCUGGGCACAGUGGCCCACACCUGUAAUUCUAACACUUUGGGAGGCCAAGGUGGGCAGUUCCCUUGAGCCCAGGAGUUGGCAACCAGCUUGAGCAACAUGGUGAAUCCCUGUCUCUACCAGAAAAAAACAGAAAAAAGGAAAGAAAAGAAAGAAGAAAGAAAAAAAGAAUGCAAGCUUCAUGUUUGGCUGUAGCCUCCGCUGAGGGAGCCUCUCCAGUCCCGACUGCCGCGUGCCCUGGGUGGCGGAGGAAUUUGGGGGUGGACCUAUCUCAGUUGUAUCUGGAAGAAUUCUCAGGGUAGAGGGUGAAAAAUAUCUUUUUUAUCCUUUCUCUUUUUAUUUUUAUUUUUAUUUUUAUUUGAGCUAAGGUCUUCACCUACGUCUGUCACCCAGGCUGGAGUGCAGUGGUGACAUCACGGCUCAAUGCAGCCUUGACCUCCUGGGCUCAGGUGGUCCCCCCACCUCAGCCUCCUCGGUAGCUGGGACUACAGGUGCACACCACCACACUCAGCUGAUUUUUAUAUUUUUUGUAGAGAUGGAGUUUCACUUUAUUGCUCAGAUUGGUCUCGAA